GACGAACGCUGGCGGCGUGCUUAACACAUGCAAGUCGAACGGAAAGGCCCUGCUUUUGUGGGGUGCUCGAGUGGCGAACGGGUGAGUAACACGUGAGUAACCUGCCCUUGUCUUUGGGAUAACUUCAGGAAACUGGGGCUAAUACCGGAUAGGAGCUCCUGCUGCAUGGUGGGGGUUGGAAAGUUUCGGCGGUUGGGGAUGGACUCGCGGCUUACCAGCUUGUUGGUGGGGUAGUGGCUUACCAAGGCUUUGACGGGUAGCCGGCCUGAGAGGGCGACCGGCCACAUUGGGACUAAGAUACGGCCCAGACUCCUACGGGAGGCAGCGGUGGGGAAUAUUGCACAGUGAGCGGAAGCCUGAUGCGGCAGCGCCGCGUGCGGGAUGACGGCCUUCGGGUUAUGAACCGCUUUCGCCUGUGACGAAGCGUGAGUGACGGUAAUGGGUAAAGAAGCACCGGCUAACUACGUG
rnacentral:rRNA from 1 species